rnacentral:rRNA from 1 species
GAGUAAUGCAUCGGAACGUGCCCCGUAGCGGGGGAUAACCAGUNGAAAGAANGGCUAAUACCGCAUACGCUCCAAGGAGGAAAGCAGGGGAUCGCAAGACCUUGCACUAUGGGAGCGGCCGAUGCCCGAUUAGCUAGUUGGUGAGGUAAAGGCUCACCAAGGCGACGAUCGGUAGCUGGUCUGAGAGGACGACCAGCCACACUGGGACUGAGACACGGCCCAGACUCCUAUGGGAGGCAGCAGUGGGGAAUUUUGGACAAUGGGCGCAAGCCUGAUCCAGCCAUGCCGCGUGCGGGAAGAAGGCCUUCGGGUUGUAAACCGCUUUUGGCAGGAACGAAACGGCGCUCGCUAAUACCGAGCGCUAAUGACGGUACCUGCAGAAUAAGCACCGGCUANCUACUUGCCAGCA